GACGAACGCUGGCGGCGUGCCUAAUACAUGCAAGUCGAGCGAACCACUUCGGUGGUGAGCGGCGAACGGGUGAGUAACACGUAGGUUAUCUGCCCAUCAGACGGGGACAACGAUUGGAAACGAUCGCUAAUACCGGAUAGGACGAAAGUUUAAAGGUGCUUCGGCACCACUGAUGGAUGAGCCUGCGGCGCAUUAGCUAGUUGGUAGGGUAAAGGCCUACCAAGGCGACGAUGCGUAGCCGACCUGAGAGGGUGAACGGCCACACUGGGACUGAGACACGGCCCAGACUCCUACGGGAGGCAGCAGUAGGGAAUCUUCGGCAAUGGGCGAAAGCCUGACCGAGCAACGCCGCGUGAAUGAUGAAGGCCUUCGGGUUGUAAAAUUCUGUUAUAAGGGAAGAAUGGCUUUAGUAGGAAAUGGCUAGAGUGUGACGGUACCUUAUGAGAAAGCCCCGGCUAACUUCGUGCCAGCAGCCGCAGUAACAC
rnacentral:rRNA from 1 species